AAAAAGGCUCUUUUAAGAGCCACCCACAAAUAUCAAAAAAGGCUG
rnacentral:ncRNA from 1 species